UGAAUACGAAAUGCUACGGCAUUGAAGCAGUCUAUGUCAUACUUCCAAGAAAAGCUUGCACUGUCAUAAAUAAAUAAUGCCUGUACCAUAACCGACACAGGUGGGUAGGUAGAGUAUACUAAGGGGCGCGAGAUAACUCUCUCUAAGGAACUCGGCAAAAUAACUCCGUAACUUCGGGAGAAGGAGUACCUUAUUUUUAAGGUUGCAAUAACAAGAUCCAAGCAACUGUUUAUCAAAAACACAGGUCUCCGCUAAGUCGUAAGACGAUGUAUGGGGGCUGACGCCUGCCCAGUGCCAGAAGGUUAAAGAAGUUGGUUAGCAUUAGCGAAGCUGAUAACUGAAGCCCUGGUGAACGGCGGCCGUAACAAUAACGGUCCUAAGGUAGCGAAAUUCCUUGUCGGGUAAGUUCCGACCCGCACGAAAGGCGUAAUGAUUUGGAUACUGUCUCGGAGAGGGGCUCGGUGAAAUAGACUUGUCUGUGAAGAUGCGGACUACCUGCACCUGGACAGAAAGACCCUAUGAAGCUUUACUGUAACUUGAAAUUGAAACUGGACUUUAUUUGCGCAGUAUAGGUGGGAGGCUAUGAGAUUAUUUUUACGGAAAUAAUGGAGCCAUCAGUGAGAUACCACUCUUGUAAUGUUAGGUUUCUAACUUUGUAUCAUUAUCUGGUCAAAGAACAGUUUCAGGCGGGCAGUUUGACUGGGGCGGUCGCCUCCCAAACGGUAACGGAGGCGCACAAAGGUUUCCUCUGAACGGGUAGAAAUCGUAUCUAGAGUGUAAAGGCAUAAGGAAGCUUGACUGUGAGACCUACAAGUCGAGCAGGGACGAAAGUCGGUCUUAGUGAUCUGACGGUGCUGAGUGGAAAGGCCGUCACUCAACGGAUAAAAGUUACUCUAAGGAUAACAGGCUGAUCUCCCCCAAGAGUUCACAUCGACGGGGAGGUUUGGCACCUCGAUGUCGGCUCAUCGCAUCCUGGGGCGGUAGUACGUCCCAAGGGUUGGGCUGUUCGCCCAUGAAAGCGGUACGCGAGCUGGGUUCAGAACGUCGUGAGACAGUUCGGUCCAUAUCCGGUGUAGGCGUUAGAAUAUUGAGAGGAUCCUUCUUUAGUACGAGAGGACCAAGAAGGACAUACCUCUGGUGUACCAGUUAUCGUGCCAACGGUAAACGCUGGGUAGCUAUGUAUGGAAUUGAUAACCGCUGAAAGCAUCUAAGUGGGAAGCAAACCUCAAGAUAAGUAUUCUCU
rnacentral:rRNA from 1 species